CUACAACCGAUCUGUGACAAGGUUCUUGCACAGAUGAUGGGGUGGAAGAUGGCUCUCCUCUCCCUUGACGGCAGGCUUGACCUUGUCAAAUCGGUUCUAUCUGCAAUGCCUAUAUUCCAGAUGAUCGCACUUCAUAUGCCAGCUUGGCUGCAAAAACUGAUCGACAAGGUGCGUCAGGAAUUCUUGUGGGGUGGACAGGAAGUUACUAUCGGCGGAAAGUGCCUCGCCGACUGGAAACUUAUGUGCCGCCCAACGGACUUCGGUGGCCUCGGUAUAAUUGAUUUGGCGGCCCAGAGCGCGGCCCUCCGCGUGCUUUGGUUAUGGAAGUCUUGGGCCGAGCCCGGCAAGCCGUGGCAUGGUCUAGAUCUUCCAAUCAACCAAAGGGUGAGAAACUUGUUCAAUGCAUCAGUCCUCUUCCACCUUGGGGAUGGAGCGCGUAUUUCCUUCUAG
rnacentral:rRNA from 1 species